AGUGAACGCUGGCGGUAGGCCUAACACAUGCAAGUCGAACGGCAGCCCAGUAAGAGCUUGCUCUUACGGGUGGCGAGUGGCGGACGGGUGAGGAAUACAUCGGAAUCUACUUUUUCGUGGGGGAUAACGUAGGGAAACUUACGCUAAUACCGCAUACGACCUACGGGUGAAAGCAGGGGAUCUUCGGACCUUGCGCGAUUGAAUGAGCCGAUGUCGGAUUAGCUAGUUGGCGGGGUAAAGGCCCACCAAGGCGACGAUCCGUAGCUGGUCUGAGGGGAUGGAUCAGCCACACGGGAAUGAAGAGACGGCCCGGAUCCUAGAGGGGGGCAGCAGUGGGAAAAUUGGGAAAAGGGGGGAAAGCUGGACCAAGCCAUGCGGCGUGGGGGAGGAAGGCCUCGGGGUGGAAAACCCCUUUGGUGGGGAAAAAAAAGCGCAGGGUUAAAGCCCCCUGGUCUGACGGUACCCAAAGAAUAAGCCCCGGCUAACUUCGUG
rnacentral:rRNA from 1 species